rnacentral:sRNA from 1 species
AUCAAUGUGGUUGGCUCCUCUCUGGUUCCGUUUUAAUAAACGACGAGCAGUGGCCCCUCCAGUCUUGGCCCUUUCUGUUCAGUCGUCCUUCCGCAAGGACAUUCCAUUGAUCCCUUCUUGUAUAUGCCCUGAUGCAGUCCUGAUUUCCUCAUUUCUUGUUGAUCCUUUCUCGCACUACAGAUGAGCCCCUAGUUCCGUCAUUUGUAGCCGCUGACUGGUCGCUUAUGUCACUUAGAAAACGAUUUCUUUUUGAAAUCAUCAUUGAGGACAGUCGGUCUUCCUCCAUAACUGCUGGAAGAGGUCCUUUUGACAUCUGAUUUCCUCAUUUCAUUAUCCCAAUUGAUCAUAUAUCACAUGUGUUCCUGAUUCAGUUCCUUCAAUUAGUUGGAUCUAGAUUCCACACCGUUUCAAAUGGUUGGAUAAGCUGAUAUUUCUUUGUAAAUGGAUGAGGUCCUUGGUGCAUCCUUGAUGUUCUUGAAGCCAUAGGGGUCGACUUAUCCUCAGAUCCUUCUGGACGUGUGGUUCUCCUUUCUUUUGUUCCUGUUUCCUGUCCAGUUUCACGGACGGCGCGGAGUGGGCUCUCCAGUCUUGGCCCUUUCUGUUCAGUCGUCCUGCUGCCAGGACGUCCCUCCUUUCCUGAUUUCCUUCCAGCUUCCAUUGCCUUAUGUUUCCUUGCACUAUCUGUGACUGUCAUCGGUAACACACGUGCAGUUGUUGCAAUUUGUCCAUCUUGGUUGCAAGUCCCUUAUUUCCUCAUAUUUAAAUCUGGUAUAA